ACGGAGGGUGCAAGCGUUAAUCGGAAUUACUGGGCGUAAAGCGCACGCAGGCGGUUUUUUAAGUCAGAUGUGAAAUCCCCGGGCUCAACCUGGGAACUGCACCUGUUACUGGCAAGCUUGAGUCUCGUAGAGGGGGAUAGAAUUCCAGGUGUAGGGGUGAAAUGCGUAGAGAUCUGGAGGAAUACCGGUGGCGAAGGCGGGCUCCUGGACGAUGACUGACGCUCAGGUGCGAAAGCGUGGGUAGCAAACAG
rnacentral:rRNA from 1 species